AUGAACGCUGGCGGCAUGCCUAAUACAUGCAAGUCGAGCGAACAGACGAGGAGCUUGCUCCUCUGACGUUAGCGGCGGACGGGUGAGUAACACGUGGAUAACCUACCUAUAAGACUGGGAUAACUUCGGGAAACCGGAGCUAAUACCGGAUAAUAUAUUGAACCGCAUGGUUCAAUAGUGAAAGACGGUUUUGCUGUCACUUAUAGAUGGAUCCGCGCCGCAUUAGCUAGUUGGUAAGGUAACGGCUUACCAAGGCAACGAUGCGUAGCCGACCUGAGAGGGUGAUCGGCCACACUGGAACUGAGACACGGUCCAGACUCCUACGGGAGGCAGCAGUAGGGAAUCUUCCGCAAUGGGCGAAAGCCUGACGGAGCAACGCCGCGUGAGUGAUGAAGGUCUUCGGAUCGUAAAACUCUGUUAUUAGGGAAGAACAAAUGUGUAAGUAACUAUGCACGUCUUGACGGUACCUAAUCAGAAAGCCACGGCUAACUACGUG
rnacentral:rRNA from 1 species